CACGUAGGGUGCGAGCGCUGUCCGGAAUUAUUGGGCGUAAAGAGCUCGUAGGCGGUGUGUCGCGUCGGCCGUGAAAACCUGCAGCUUAACUGUGGGCUUGCGGUCGAUACGGGCAUCACUGGAGUUCGGCAGGGGAGACUGGAAUUCCUGGUGUAGCGGUGAAAUGCGCAGAUAUCAGGAGGAACACCGGUGGCGAAGGCGGGUCUCUGGGCCGAUACUGACGCUGAGGAGCGAAAGCGUGGGGAGCGAACAGG
rnacentral:rRNA from 1 species